rnacentral:rRNA from 1 species
UACGUAGGGUGCAAGCGUUAAUCGGAAUUACUGGGCGUAAAGCGUGCGCAGGCGGUUGUGCAAGACAGAUGUGAAAAUCCCCGGGCUCAACCUGGGAAUUGCAUUUGUGACUGCACGGCUAGAGUGUGUCAGAGGGGGGUAGAAUUCCACGUGUAGCAGUGAAAUGCGUAGAGAUGUGGAGGAAUACCGAUGGCGAAGGCAGCCCCCUGGGAUAACACUGACGCUCA